GUGGGGAAUAUUGGGCAAUGGGCGAAAGCCUGACCCAGCAACGCCGCGUGAAGGAAGAAGGUUUUCGGAUCGUAAACUUCUAUCCUUGGUGAAGAUAAUGACGGUAGCCAAGAAGGAAGCCCCGGCUAACUACGUGCCAGCAGCCGCGGUAAUACGUAGGGGGCAAGCGUUGUCCGGAAUGAUUGGGCGUAAAGGGCGCGUAGGCGGCCUGGUAAGUCUGGAGUGAAAGUCCUGCUUUUAAGGUGGGAAUUGCUUUGGAUACUGUCGGGCGUGAGUGCAGGAGAGGUAAGUGGAAUUCCCGGUGGAGCGGUGAAAUGCGUAGAGAUCGGGAGGAACACCAGUGGCGAAGGCGACUUACUGGACUGUAACUGACGCUGAGGCGCGAAAGUGUGGGGAGCAAACAGGAUUAGAUACCCGAGUAGUCC
rnacentral:rRNA from 1 species